rnacentral:rRNA from 1 species
AGUGAACGCUGGCGGUAGGCCUAACACAUGCAAGUCGAACGGCAGCACAGUAAGAGCUUGCUCUUACGGGUGGCGAGUGGCGGACGGGUGAGGAAUAGAUCGGAAUCUACUUUUUCGUGGGGGAUAACGUAGGGAAACUUACGCUAAUACCGCAUACGACCUACGGGUGAAAGCAGGGGAUCUUCGGACCUUUCGCGAUUGAAUGAGCCGAUGUCGGAUUAGCUAGUUGGCGGGGUAAAGGCCCACCAAGGCGACGAUUCGUAGCUGGUCUGAGAGGAUGAUCAGCCACACUGGAACUGAGACACGGUCCAGACUCCUACGGGAGGCAGCAGUGGGGAAUAUUGGACAAUGGGCGCAAGCCUGAUCCAGCCAUACCGCGUGGGUGAAGAAGGCCUUCGGGUUGUAAAGCCCUUUUGUUGGGAAAGAAAAGCAGCAGGUUAAUACCCCGCUGUUCUGACGGUACCCAAAGAAUAAGCACCGGCUAACUUCGUG